CCUGGACUGGUUAACAGCCAGUCAGUCGCAGGGCACAUAGAGACAAACAACCAGUUACACUCACAAUCACACCUUUGGCUAAUUUAUAGUCUCUAGUUAAUGCCUGUUUUUGGGAUGUGGGAAGAAGCCGGAGAGCCCUUAGAAAGCCCACCGAAGCACGGGAAAACAUGCAAACUCUGAUUCGAAACCUGAUCCUCAAAAUGAUGGGCACAAUGUGGCGACCCCUAACGGGACAAGCCGAAAGGAAAUAGAAGAAGAAGACGACCACCAAUUACUCACCAAUUAUCACAGUCUGUCAUGACCUCAAAAGGGACCUUGAGUGAUCCCCUGUGGUCAUCUUCCUACAUUUGCAGCUUGUAAGGAAUAGAUGUAGAAUGAAAGCAAGUAAAAAGCCAACAAGAAUUUUCAGACUCAAACGAGUCAACAGAUAAUACAAUAAGAUUAAAUGCGUUGAAUAACGAUUUCAAGAUUAAAUAUUUCUAAUUAAAAGUGAUGGACCAACAGCUUUUUUAAAAGUAGGACAUGUUAUAAAUGCAAAACAUAAAGGUGCUGGGAUCUUUUUUUUUUUAAUUAAUCAAUUUCACAUAAUUGUUCUACAAAUUAUGAUUCUCUACAAAUAACAAAUGACACAAACUCAUCAUGAUCUACCUGUGCGAGUGACUUGGGCAAUUACACGGUCUUCCCCAAUGUGGCAGAAUGUAGAACUAGGGAAGAUAUUUUGCCCCAUCCUCACCUGUAAGCAUUUCAAAGAUAGAUCCUUCAUUUUUAGCUUGUUGAAAUGAACCCACCAUUUAAACACAACUCCUCAAGUAGAACGGCUUGAAAGUGUAGCUGGGGUUUUAACCUCCAUCACACAACCGCUACAUUCCUGGUGGUGUAAUGGUACUGUACUUUUGCUUGACUGCAGUCCAGGCAACAUGGUUUCACAUCCCACUCAGCGACAGUUGGAAUGUAAGAAUGAUUGGAUGUGUCUCUCUGUUUAUGUCCCCUGCAACUGACUGGUCCAGGUUGUAGGCUGUCUAACUUUGGCUUGAAGUCAGCCAGGAUAAGCUCCAGGUUCCUGCUACCACGAACAGAAUAAGUGGUAGGCUAUUGAAAAUGGGUAGAUUCCUAAGAAUGUUAAAGAUUAGUGUCAGCUUUGAAACACUAAGUGGCAGUGUCAUACAUUCAAAUAUCAGUGGCAAAAGCUAUUACGCAGAGACACACUCCCAUUGUUUCCAGCUUGACAUUUUUUUUAAUCAGCGAUGACGCCGUUAAGACCUGCGUUUUUACACAAGCUCUUUUUAAGAUGACUUGUCAACCAUCCUCUCCACACAAGUAUUUUGUUGUUCCUGUGUCUAAGUUGCGACAAUCACAAUGAAUUAAGUCACACAGACAUGUGUUUGUUUCUGGCACAUAGUUGGCUUACCACCUUUGGGUCUUCAUUUUCAUUUUCUGUCAAGCUGUCCUGUUACAGGACAGACUUGCUACGGUAAUGAAUACGAAUCGGUGCUCCAGAAUGAAUGAGCUAUCAGCAUUUAUGUUGGCUGAGUGCCCCGAGGAGGCUGUCACCUGCAAUGAGCCUUUUUAUUGCCCUCGUCGCCUCUCCAUACCAAACACGGCCAGGUGGCUCUCAGUACCUGAAGGAUUUCUGUUUACCUGUUGGAGGAUUUACAAUCAGAAGCAGCAGGGUGAUUAUUCCAGUUAAAAUUGCUUCAUUUACUUCGAAGGUCAAUACAGACAGAGAGUUGUGAUGUACACAGUAGCUUGUGUUGCUUCAUUCGAAUGUGAGCAGUUUUUGUACAGAUGAACAAAUCUUUGGAGGGAAUGUACUGAAUUGGAUCACUCAGAAGUGAUCCUUUCUCAGUUCAAUUGAUCUCAGUCGUGGAAGGGCCGGCCAGGAGUGGAGCUUCACAAUUCUGUCACUUAUGCUUUAAUCUUCAGUAAAUUACUUAUGACAAAGCCAAGCAUUUGGGCAAGGAAGGGGAUAUAUUAAACGGAACUUGUGAUUUCUUUACAACAAAUUGAAGUGAAGUAGUGACACAUGCACUGAUGUGUAUGCUGGAAUGUACAGUACCUGUAUCACUUGGGCUACAUUUAUACUGUCAAAUUUACAUUUGAUGUUAACUCCAAUCUUUGUAUACCGUUAUUGGCUUUACAAAAACGAAUGAGACUUAUGGAAAUAUGGUCAGAACACAUGCGUGACAUUCUACAAAUGCAUGCAGACCAGGAUGUUACUGUGUCUAUGUGAGCGUACAAGAGACACUGGCCCCUCGUGUAAAUCUCAAUAUGACACAUUUGUGGCAGUUUCAAGAAUUUUGUGCAACCGGAGCCAAUAUUUUCUAAUAUUUAUGUUGAGACCACCAUGAGAGGCUACAUUUACUUUGGUAAACACGGCGCCUCAUGUUUGUUUGUAUGCGUAACAUGAAGUCAUGCUUUGUGUGCAUGCGUGUGUUGCACCCAUUCAAUUCACACUGAAGUUACAUUUGUUUUUGUAAUGAGAACGACUACAUGC